rnacentral:rRNA from 1 species
GUCUCAAAGAUUAAGCCAUGCAUGUCUAAGUACAGGCCUAAGCAAGGCGAAACCGCGAAUGGCUCAUUAAAUCAGUUAUGGUUCAUUGGAUCUUACCCUUUCUUACAUGGAUAACUGUGUUAAUUCUAGAGCUAAUACAUGCCAACCAGUAGCUCCGACACACUCCCGUGUGGAAGAGCGCUUUUAUUAGAUCAAAACCAGUCCUCUUUCGGGAGAUCAAACCCCUUCUUUCAAGUGUCUGCCUUAUCAGCUUUCGAUUGUAGGUUAUGCGCCUACAAUAGCUAUAACGGGUAACGGGGAAUCAGGGUUCGAUUCCGGAGAGGGAGCUUGAGAAACGGCUACCACAUCUAAGGAAGGCAGCAGGCACGCAAAUUACCCACUCCCGGCUCGGGGAGGUAGUGACGAAAAAUAACGAUGCUGAACUCAUCUGAGGCCUCGCAAUCGGAAUGAGUACACUUUAAAUCCUUUAACGAGGAUCUAUUGGAGGGCAAGUCUGGUG